UCCAUUAACAAAGAAAGUGCAAGUAGCUAGGCAUCAAUAUUCCUUCACAUAAUGUCUUCAUCUGGUUUCGUUUUGCCUGUCAAUGGCCGCUGCUUCCUGGGGAUUCUUUGCAUUGCUUUCCUUUUGGCUUCAGUGGCAGAGCCUGUAGCCGCAUUGUAUACAGUACCACUCUGCGUAGGAAUAUGUACAAGUGACUGCAACCAGAAUUGCAUCAAGAAGGGAUACCCAAAGGGGGGUGUUUGUAUGGGCCCUAGCCGCGCGCGCAAAGACAUGGCUUGCUGCUGUAAUAACACAAAAAAUAAAUAAAUAUAUAGUUUUCAUUGAAAAAUAUAGAAUAAGGUGUAAUAAAAUAGGCUAGCUUUGGAAGAAUGAUUAUAAUUCCAAGUGUUAUAGUAUUGCUUGGCGUGGCUUUGAGUUGUAACCUUCUGUGAAAACAAGUUAUUGGAAUCUAUUGCACCACUUUUUAUCU